CAACUUACCUCAUAAACUUACUUCAUAAUAAUAAUAAAAAUCUUCUUUCCAUAGCAAUUAGUAGUGGCUCAAUCCGUGACAUUCCUCAAUGAUGUAAAGCCGUACAAGACGUGUGGUGUGUGCAAGUGAAGGUCCUCCAUACAUGAAAGACGGUGAUGUUAAGGGAAUAUACAUCUUCUUAUAAUAAUAAUCUCACCUGUUUAAAUUUCUACAUCAUAUAGAAAUACUCACAUAAACUUUCUUUCACAGGGUACAAAAAUCCAUGCUUUCUUUAAAAAAGAGCAUCUAAAACAUUUUGAAAAUGUUAUUUUCUAAGGACAAUGGAGAAUGCUGCUGGUGUAAGCUUCAUGUGAAAGGUACGGAUGGAACUGGUCAGAUGAUAUUGAUGCUUUUCGACAAUAUGGCUUAAGAGAUUGUUGGCUCCCCUGUAAACAAUCUUCUACAUGAGGAUCGUUUAAGCUUUCAACGGGUCAUUUGAUGAGAAAUAGAGAGAGAGAGAGAGAUACAUAGAGGAAGAGAAGAUAUACAGAAAGAUUCCCUCUUCUUCCAUUGAGAGAUAAAGCUUUGUCAUCAGUCUAAUUCGUUGUCAAGAAUAACCGACCGUGAAAGAUUCUUCGGAUCCACCAGCAAUAUAGAGAUCUUUUUUUUAGCGAACGAUGUUUUUUCAGGCUACAAGAGCCCCACAAAGGGGAGAAUAAAAUGAAACUUCACAGAAAGGCCCCUCUUAUUUAAAAGUUUCGUUAUAUUCACCCCUAUAUUUUACUAUUUUUAGAAUUACACAAAUCUCCUUUAAUAAACGUUGUGGAAAGUGGAAACUUAUAAUUUAAUAGCUUAGGAGAAGC